GAUUGUCCAUUCAGUCUUACGGUACUUUGACUGGUGGAAUACAACGCUUCAGAUAGAUAAAGCCACUGAAGCUUUGAGCGUCCCAUGAAGGAUCUCAAGAACAGAUGUGUGCAAAUUUGGAGGUGUACUGAUAACCACCAAGCGUCAAAACACAAUGAGAAAUUGAGUUGCAAGCCGAACAACUGUCAGUCCUGACUCCAUUCUCCUUACAUUGAUCCCUCGCUCUACAUGUUUGCGUGGUACAGUCUCGGGUGGCGUGAACAAUAAUAACCUUUGCAAUUCAACAAGAGACAAAACGCUGUCCCACAGCAGAUGGAAAACCAAUCGGGCACUGCGCGACACCAAAUGAUAACAUAGAGGCAGGCAACGUCCAGUCCAUCCAUCCAGUUUGUUCCAUGAAUUUGGAUGCAUACUCAGUUUCUUGGCCUCCACACAUCCAUGACCCGAAUGAGGAUAACCGGUCCAGAAAAUAGACGGUAGGUAAGGUAUUUCCAUAUUUGAAGUGUGAUUCAGUGUAUUAUUCAACUGGAUUUGACUGACAUUUCACCAGUCCGAGGAAAACUCCAUGCGGCAUCAUUGAAAGCCAGUCUCAGACUUCAGUGAGUCAUGCUUCUGCGGUGGUUGCACACAAAUUGUCAGAUCGCACAUGGCGGCCCAGUCAGAAGCCAGGUGCGUUUAAAGAAAAAAAAACAAAAGGAAAACUCUCACGCUAACGGGAGUAUGUGGCCCAUAACAUACAAUGAACAGAAGGUAAAAUCCUUGCAACAACCGUCUCCUUUUGCAAGCUCUGUGACAUCGGUCAAGUCCAAAAGACACAGAAAGACGUGGAGCAAAUCUUAUCUGGUGCAAUUGUUGCUCUGAUUACAACCAUUUAGCCUUUUCAGUCAAUCCACAAAGCAGAUCAACGCCAUUAGCUUUCCGACCAACAAAAUCUCCCAGUGAGACAGCUUGGUAUAAAGAAUGCGUAGAAUGCCGCCACUUCUAACUCAUGUCAGCAGACAGUCUUUCACGCCUUCCUCGGUGAGCGUCUUUAGUCUCGAGCACGGCACUUAGUCAAGUUACGUAAUAGACGACGAACCCAAAGGGCGCCGAUUAACCUUUCUUAGGCUCUUCCAUUCUCGGCAGAGGGUUUGGCCAAAAUCCUUCCUACAGUACAUUUACAUUCUUCUGUACGGUUUCCCCAUUAAGAUGAAGUUGAGGACAAAUCCGAUAAAAGAUGCUUUCAAUGUUAAAUGGGGACUCUGGAGCUCCUUGUUGCAGCUUGAAUGGGGAACAUAAAACACUCUGUCAGGGAUUCAGAUUGAGCAGGAUCGAGACCUGCCCUCCAUCCCGACGUCUAACCACGACCGGGUGGUCCUCGUCUAAAGCCCGAGACCUGAAACUACGCAUUGUGAUGUUAAGAACUCUACGCCAUCUGUUCAUCAUCAUCAGUCCUGAUGAUACAGUGAAAAUUAGACAGACUUCAUCGCUUCUUCAUUCAUGUCCGAGCCUGUUUUAGCAGACAAGAGCCCCUUUCUUUGGAUGGUCGCUCUGCUCAGUGAGCGUCUUUCUCACAGGAAACGAGAGCGUCGGCGGUCAACAGCUGUUUGACUAUUAGGUCUCGUGAGCGUCGCGGCGGCGAAGCUCGGGCAUGCCAAGAAUGUGGCGCCCAUAUGAUGGAUCUCAAGGAAUACUCCCCGCUGACACAGGAAGGGCAAUGCUGGAUGGAAUCCGCUGCCACUUUCCUGCUAAACUUGAGGCGAGAGUGAGAGAAGGCGAUGGUCUCCGUCUGGGAAGAUGUGCAUUAUACGGACAAAAGUAUUUGGAAAACUCCCCCCACCCCCAUCCUGAAUUAGAAAUCCACAUACGUUACACUUUUUUCAGCCAGCCCAACGAGCACUUGCAUUGACACUUGAAGAGUGUUUCUCCAGACGGCAUGUUUCAGCUCAUGUUCAGUAGGAUUGAAAUCAGGGCCCAUAGACGCCACUUCUGAGUAGUUCAAUGUUUUAGUCGAGUGUCUUUCCACACCACAUCACCAAACACCACAGCGACUACUUG